rnacentral:rRNA from 1 species
CUUAGAAGCAGCCAUCAUAUAUUGAAAGCGUAAAAAAUCAUUGGAUAAAGAUUGUGGAGUGCCCAUAAUGUGCGGGGCUUAACCUACUUGCCGAAACACCAAAUUUCUUAAUUGAAAUGGUAGCGGAGUUUUCUGUAAAGCGAAUUAAUCGAAUAAAAGAAAUAAACCGAAAGGUGGACUCAGAAAUAAGAAUGUUGGUAUGAGUAACGUUAAACUUUUUGUCGCCUAGAACCUAAGGUUUCCGACGUUCAGGUAUUCUGCGGACGGGUUAUGCGGUAGUUUAGGUCUACUCUAUGAAAAUAGGGGCUGAUAUUGUCCUUAACAAUAAGGAAUGCAUUUUGCUGGGUCGUAUGACUAUAACUAUAAAGCUUAACGAGAGUGGCUUAUUGGGUAAGAUCAUACCUAGAAAUCCUCAAAAUGUGAAUAUGUACCGUACUGAAAACCGACACUGGUAGGUAAGUGGAGAACACUGUGGCGCUAUGGAAGAAGUAUAUUGAAGGAACUAGGCAAAAUGACCCCGUAACUUCGGGAUAAGGGGGUAACUGCUUGCCUCUGUAAAGAGGGUAGUAGUUGAACGUGAAAAUGGAGGGGGGCGACUGUUUACUAAAAACACAGGACUCUGCUAACUUGUAAGAGGAUGUAUUGGGUCCGAGGCCUGCCCGGUGCCAGCAAGCUAACAGGAGGUGUUAACGCACUGAAUUUAACCCCUGGCAAACGGCGGCUGUAACUAUAACGGUCCUAAGGUAGCGAAAUUCCUUGUCGGGUAAGUUCCGACGUGCAUGAAUGGCAUAACGACUUUCCUGCUGUCUCCAGUAUAUGUUCAGUGAAAUUGAAUUUUUUGUGAAGAUGCGAAAUAGUGACGGCCAGACGGAAAGACCCCAUGCACCUUUACUGUGAUAAUACAUCAUCCCAUACGGCUUUUUGUGUAGAAUAGGUAGUAAGUUUUGUCUUUUUGGCGCUAGCUGGGAAGUUUACUGAAAUGUGUAAUACUACCCUGAAUGCUGUAUGGGAUUUAUCCAACCCCUUAAGAGGGGGGAAACCGUGUAUUGGAGACAGUUUGACUGGGGCGGUCGCCUCCAAAAGCGUAUCGGGGGUGUGCAAAAGGUAAACUCAAAACGGAUAUCUCUGUUUGUAGAGCAUAAUAGUAAAUGUUUGCUUGACUGCGUAACGGAUACGUUUAGCAGGGAGACUCAAUGUCUCGGCUAUAGUGACCCGAUAGCUCUGUGUGGAAAGGCUAUCGCUUAACAAAUAAAAGGUACGCUGGGGAUAACAGGCUGAUGCCUCUUGAGAGUUCUUAUCGACGGAGUCGUUUGGCACCUCGAUGUCGGCUCAUCACAUCCUGGAGCUGAAGAAGGUUCCAAGGGUUCGGCUGUUCGCCGAUUAAAGUGGUACGUGAGCUGGGUUUAAAACGUUGUAAAACAGUUUGGUCCCUAUCUACCGUCACAUUAAAAAACCUAACGGGGGCGUUUAUUCUAGUACGAAAGGACCGGAGAGAGUUAACCUAUUGUUAUACGGCUGUCGAAUACGGCAAAGUCGCGACGCUAUGUUAAGCAGGCUAUAAUCAUUGAAUGUAUCUAAAUGAGAAAAGCCAACCCUGCGGUUUAUAAUAAAAUAGCUAGUGUGGUUAUAGAGGAUAACCUUAAUAGACCCGGAUCUAAUUCUAUAAUAGGUGUAGUAUGUGCGAAAGCUGGAAAGCCGGAGAUG